UACAGAGGGGGCAAGCGUUGUUCGGAAUUACUGGGCGUAAAGGGCGCGUAGGCGGCCGCCUAAGUCAGACGUGAAAUCCCUCGGCUCAACUGAGGAACUGCCUUUGAAACUGUCUGGCUUGAGGCCGGGAGAGGGUAGCGGAAUUCCCAGUGUAGCGGUGAAAUGCGUAGAUACUGGGAGGAACACCGGUGGCGAAGGCGGCUACCUGGACCGGUUCUGACGCUGAUGCGCGAAAGCGUGGGUAGCAAACAGG
rnacentral:rRNA from 1 species